UACGUAGGGUGCGAGCGUUGUCCGGAAUUAUUGGGCGUAAAGAGCUUGUAGGCGGUUUGUCGCGUCUGCUGUGAAAAUCCGGGGCUCAACCCCGGACUUGCAGUGGGUACGGGCAGACUAGAGUGUGGUAGGGGAGACUGGAAUUCCUGGUGUAGCGGUGAAAUGCGCAGAUAUCAGGAGGAACACCGAUGGCGAAGGCGGCUUCCUGGUCUGUAACUGACACUGAGGCGCGAAAGCGUGGGGAGCAAACAGGAUUAGAUACCCGGGUAGU
rnacentral:rRNA from 1 species